ACUCCUACGGGAGGCAGCAGUGGGGAAUUUUGGACAAUGGGCGAAAGCCUGAUCCAGCAAUGCCGCGUGAGUGAAGAAGGCCUUCGGGUUGUAAAGCUCUUUUGUCAGGGAAGAAACGGUGAAAGCUAAUAUCUUUUGCUAAUGACGGUACCUGAAGAAUAAGCACCGGCUAACUACGUGCCAGCAGCCGCGGUAAUACGUAGGGUGCAAGCGUUAAUCGGAAUUACUGGGCGUAAAGCGUGCGCAGGCGGUUUUGUAAGUCUGAUGUGAAAUCCCCGGGCUCAACCUGGGAAUUGCAUUGGAGACUGCAAGGCUAGAAUCUGGCAGAGGGGGGUAGAAUUCCACGUGUAGCAGUGAAAUGCGUAGAUAUGUGGAGGAACACCGAUGGCGAAGGCAGCCCCCUGGGUCAAGAUUGACGCUCAUGCACGAAAGCGUGGGGAGCAAACAGGAUUAGAAACCCCAGUAGUCCCAU
rnacentral:rRNA from 1 species